rnacentral:lncRNA from 1 species
CAUCUUGUUUACCAUAAGAAGCUAUGUAAGGUCCAUUGGAUUCUUGUUGUUUGGCUUCAUAUUUACCAUAUUGAGUAAUGUAAGGUCCAUUGGUUUCCAAUUGUUUGGCUUCAUGUUUACCAUAGGCAGUUAUGUAAGGUUCAUUGGAUUCAUGGGUAUGGGUCUUGUACCCGGUAGUGUAAUCUGGGUUCUUGGCUUCAUGUUUACCAUAUUGAGUUAUGUAAGGUCCAUUGGAAUCCGGUUGUUUGACUUCAUGUCUACCAUGGGCAGUUAUGUAAGGUUCAUUGGAUUCAUGGGUAUGGGUUUUGUACCCAGUAGUGUAAUCUUGGUUCUUGGCUUCAUGUUUACCAUAUUGAGUUAUGUAAGGUCCAUUGGAUUCUGAUUGUUUGGCGUCAUGAUUACCAUAGGCACUUAUGUAAGGUCCUUUGGCCUCAUGGGUAUGGGUCUUGUACCGGGUAGUGUAAUCUGGGUUCUUGGCUUCAUGUGUACCAUAUUGAGUUAUGUAAGGUCUAUUGGAAUUCGGUUGUUUGGCUUGAUGUCUACCAUAGGGAGUUAUGUAACGUUCAUUAGAUUCAUGAGUAUGAGUAUUGUACCCGGUAGUGUAAUCUGGGUUCUUGUCUUCAUGUUUACCAUAUUGAGUUAUGUAAGGUCCAUUGGAAUCUAGUUGUUUGGUUUCAUGUCUAUUGUAGGAAGUUAUGUAAGGUCCAUUGGAUUCAUGAGUAUAAGUUUUGUACCCGGUAGUGUAAUCUGCGUCCUUGGCUACAUGUUUACCAUAUUGAGUUAUGUAAGGUCCAUUGGAAUCUGGUUGUUUGGCUUCAUGUCUACCAUAGGCAGUUAUGUAAGGUCCAUUGGAUUCAUGGGUAUGGGUCUUGUACCCGGUAGUGUAAUCUGGGUUCCUGGCUUCGUGUUUGAAAUAUUGAGUUAUGUAAGGUGCAUUGGAAUCCGGUUGUUUAGAUUCAUGUCUACCAUAGGUUGUUAUGUAAGGUUCAUUGGAUUCAUGGGUAUGGGUCUUGUACCCGGUAGUGUAACCUGGAUUCUUGGCUUCAUGUUUACUAUAUUGAGUUAUGUAAGGUCCAUUGAAAUCUGGUUGUUUGACUUGAUGUCUACCAUAGCCAGUUAUGUAAGGUUCAUUGGAUUCAUGGCUAUAAAUCUUGUACCCGGUAGUGUAAUCUUGGUUCUUGGCUUCGUGUUUGAAAUAUUGAGUCAUGUAAGGUUUAUCAUUCGAGUCCACUUGAUCCUGAUCUUGCAACUCCACCUUCAAGUCUCUGGCAUUGAUGUCUUGGCCAAUCUACAAUGACGACAAUGAGAAUAUAAAUUGAAUGACUUUUUGAAAGAAAGAAAAAAAAAAACUAAAAUAUUAAUCCCCUGAAAAAAAAUAUUAAUGUCUUAAUUGAUUAUCCAAGUUGAUAUACUACUAUCCAAGUUGAUUAUCCAAGAAGAAAAUUAACUGCAAGGGCCUUUAACCAAGAAGAAGAAAAAUAGAAUAUUGACAAAUAUACAAUUGCCUUGUUUGGUUCAUUGCGGGAAAAUGAGGAGAGUGAAGUAAAUAUUUUCACGAUUGAAAUAUUUAUUAUGACAAUUAGGAAAAUGUCAUUUAUGUUUAAAUGUGAUAUUAUUUUUGAAAAAAUCUUGCUUCCCUAUUUUUUCCUCCGUAUCUAAUAACUUAAUGAAAUAGCUAAAAUGUAAAAUAAUUUCUCAUCUACCCUCUCCAAGACUCCAACUAUCACUAUGUACAAUUGAAUUACCAUAAAGAAGAAAAGAACCACUGUGAGGAACUGAAGUGCUAGUGUAGUAGCCAUUUUUAAGUAUUGAGGAUGAGUUAUUCAACUUGAAGAGAACUAGCCUUUUUAUAGGUGAAAUUGAGGUCUUUUUUCUUUCUUUUUUUUUUGGAAGAAGGUGCUGUCGAGGUUUCCUUUGUUGACUCAGUUUCCUUCUUACUUCUUGGAUUGGAGAUUUGAGAAUUAUAAUAAUAUAAUUUUUUCUUAAUUUUUUUUUCUAUAGUGUAUUAGCUUUUUUUCAGGAGUGCUUUUUUUUCUUAAUAUAAUACUAGCAGUAGGUGAGUAUACCGACAAUCAAUAUUUCUAUCCACAAUGCAAUUAACGAGGGACGGUCUUAUCGAUAAUAUGCGAAAAUGAAUUAAUGAUGUAUAUAGUUUUUAUUAUAGACAACAUGUAUCAUUUAAUAAAUGAAUCUAAAAUGUCAAUUUUUAAUUAUAACAGUGAUCGGAGUACGUGCGAACAAUAAUGUUAUACAUCACACAAGAAAACCCACGAACCCGUCACGAAGUACAUUCCAUAGUUAAAAAGUUAAAUGGUAAAGCGGCAGAAUUUACGGAAAUCAGGUAGGAAAUUAUGUAGUGGAAAUACACUAUCGUGAUCAAUUAGUGAAAUGCUAUUCGCUAUAGAUAGCAUUUUUCAUGUGCAAAUGGUUUUUAUUACAUCUGCAUCAUUAAAUAUAAGGGUGUGUUUGUUUAAAGUGUACUAAAUUUAUUCUUAAGGUAUAGGAAUUUUAUUCUAAAGUAUUUAGAAAAAAAGAUGUUUGGUUAAUAUUAUAAUAUUUCAAAGAACCUUAAAAAUAGGGAAUAUAAUAAUAGGUAAUUAUACAUAAUUUUAUUCUCAUCUUAAUGGGAACUUUAUUCUCACUAUUUUCUUUAUGAAAACUUUUCUAUUCUAAGAACAUUUUAUAUUCAUGAAUAAAAUUUAGUAAACUUGUAACAAACAUAAACAUGUGCAUUUUUAUGAUUUUAUUCUCAGGAAUCUACAAAUAUAACAUGAAACAAACACACCCUAAGAAGAAGAACAAUAUAAAAUUAUAAAGAAAAGAAGAUAUUGAAUGUGUGUUAAGAUGUAACAAAUGAAAAAAAUUAAGAUAAUACAUUCCUUAAUAUGCUCCCUCGACAUGGUUUGUAAAGACAAAUUCGAAAUGAGUGUGACAAUUACGAUGUACACGAUCCCCUUUUUUCUCUCCCUGAGAAUAGCUUUUAUUUAUGUGAAAUUAAUAAUUUAAGAGUAGUGCUAUGAAUUGAAGAUGGAUGACAGUAUGGCUAAAUAUGGUAACUUGACAAAAUCAUGAACUCAACAAUUCAUAUUUUUCAUAACAUAUAGAAGAGUUUAUUAUCGUAUAGAGUCAUUUGACAUGAUAAUACACUCUUUUUAGUCAUAUAGGGCGACUAAAAGUAUUUACUUAAGAUAAUACACUCUUUUUAUCAUAAUGUGUAGAUAGUGUGGUCACUAUUAUAAAUAACAAACUAUUUUUUAAGUUUAUUGAAUAACUUUUUUUCAAAAAAAUUUCAUUGAAUAACUUAUGUAUAUUGUUUAUAUUAUAGACCAAAUACAUUAGUUAUUCAAUGAACCUAAUAAUUGUUUAGUUUUUGUUUAUAAUAGUGAUUAGAAGGUGUAUCAUCUUAUAUAGUGUAAAAGAUGACAAGAAUUCAUAUAGGUUUUUAGUUUCUUUUUGUAAUCAUUUUAGAGUAAAAAGUAGCAAGUUUUAUUGUAUUUUAGCAUAGGUUUGUAAAGGAUUAGUUCAAAAGUUAUGAAAUAGAAAAAAUUGGGAAAUAGACUUUGGAACAUGUCAAAAUCACUCAAAUUAGACAACUUUGUGAACGUGCUAUGCUUAUUACAAAUUUAAUCAUGUUAGGUCUUGGGGUAUAGUCAUUACAAAUGUUUUGGUGAGAAGAGUAGGACAAGGAAUGAAGAAAAGCAAAAUGAACAACUACUACCUACAUGCAUCGCGACAUUGAAGGAAAGUCGUAAGUGUUUCACCAUUGCCUCGGUCAUCAUGGACUUGAAGCUUCAUGCCGUAAGAUAUAGAAGAAUUCAAAUGUGGUACGUUACUGUUUAUGUCGCAUCACUGGCUUUCAUAUCGCAUCGUGAGAGAUGGAAAAGGUUAGAAGUACCACACGUUGAGGAAGUCGCUUACUGAAGGUGCGGAGUGCAUAUAUGAAUAAUAUUUGGGUUAUGGGACUUAAUUGGCUAUUCAAAAUAGAACAUUAGCUUGCUUAGAAAUUAAGACAGAAUAUUCCCAGAAAUACAAGAAGCAUCCAUCAGAAUAGAAUAGAAGAAACAUAAAUUAGGGUUUUGGAGAAACCUUAAAAGGAGGUUGCCGCGACAAAGAGAGGAUGGAGAAUCAAGGAGCAAGACCAUCGUGGUUAUGUUAAUCAUUCUUCUCUCCAGCGGCGAAGCUAGAGUAAUUUUCACGAGGGGGCCAAAUAGAAAGAAAUUUUUUUAGACAAAAAAAAAAAACUUUUUAGAAUUUUAUAUAUUAAACUCAGGGUUAAAUAUCUUUAGGGUGUGUUUGGAUUGAGGGUUUAGGAGGGGAAUGGAGGGGAGAGUUUGUUUUUCUUUUUUAAAUUACAGACUAUAUAACAUGUUUCUCUAAAAUAAAUUAAGUGUGAUUGAAGUAUUAUAUGAUCGUUUAUCAUGUUAAUAUGUUAACUCUUAAAAAAACAUUUCAAAGUGUCCGUAAUUACUCUACCAUUGAUUAGAUUUAGACAUAAACUAAUGAUAGUUGUUACUUAGUUUGACGUUCUUAAACCUAUUAGGGUUAUGGGCUUCACUAAGACAUUGAGGGAUAAUAAUCGUUGAGGAGAAGUGACCAAGACAUUGGCUUAACUAUUUUGAUAAAUAUAUUAAAAUCAAGUAAUCAGUUCAAACUAUUUUAAAAUUUGUAGUUACCGAAUAGUUCAGAGAAGGGAGUCGAAAUGACUUAAUCAUUCUCCUUACCUUGAUCUUAUUCGUUUAUUUCUUUUCUAUAAACAAAAUUUGUGUCUAGUGCAAGUCCCCCAAUUCUCAAAUCAUAUUAACAAUCCAUAUUGUUGUAGAAAUUUCACAAUCCAUAUGAAGAGGAAUUUUUUAUAAAUAUUACUAUUUUUUGACACACUAAUACACUUGCUAGAUUUUUACGAUUAAUACACGAUAUGAUAAGUUUCAGGAUUAACUUAUUAUAUCUUAUUGUCUCAUAAAAUACUGCAUUGAGACGUGAUAUAAUAUAAUUAUAUAACAAAUCAUGUCUCUUUAAGUGUAUGAAUUAUGAUCUUCAUUUUUUUACUAUGUAUUUUGCCAAAAGUAUUACUUUAUUAUUCAAAAAGGUAAAUUAUAUUUUGCGAUAGAGGGAGUAAUUUUGUAAAAUAACUCAUAGUCUCUCUUUUCUAUACAAAAUUAGCUAUAUUUUUUCAAUCUUAAUUUAUGUAAAACUGCUAAAGUAAUAUAUAAUUUGGGACGUAUGAUGUAUCCAAUUAAUUUGGGACAUAUUAAGUCUUAAAAAACAUCUUAAAUUUUUUUUUAAGGAGAAAAAAACAUCUUAAUUGAUGUUUAUGAUUUUGGUGAUUUGUCUAUUCAUUCUUAGAUACUAUUUUUUUAGUCAUUACAUUUUGCGCCCUUUUAAAGAAUAGUUUCUACAUUUAUUAAAUAUUUUUAAAAUCCUCACAUUUUAUCUCCGUUAUCAAAAUUAGUCUCUGCUGUUAAUUCUCUAACGGAAUGCUGAUGUGACAGUUAGUGGGUCCCAAUUAUUUUAAGGUUAAAUAUGUUUUUGAUCCCUACAUUUUGCGUUACUUUAGAAAAUAGUCCUUGCAUUUCAAUAAAUGUUUUUAAAAUCCUUAAAAGAAUAAGGACUAUUCUUCAAAGUCACGCAAAAUGUAGGGACCAAAAACAUAUUUAACCCUAAAAUAAUUGAGACCCACUACCUGCCACAUUAACGGUCUGUUUGAGCAUUAAUAACAUGGACUAAUUUUGAUAACAAAGAUAAAAUGUGGAGAUUUUAGAAACAUUUAAUAAAAUGUAGGAGGACUAUUCUACAAAGGGGCGCAAAAUGUAAGGAUUAAAAACAUAUUUAACUUUUUUUUAAAAACAUACCCUUAUUAAUAUUGUCUCUAUUUUGAAAAAUGAAAAGUUAAAGUCAUAGACAUUAAUCUUUAAAGGAUAUUUUAGAAUAAUUUAUAUAUAAAGGGGGCAUUCUAAACUCACUAUCUACUUUUCAUAAUAUAUGUGAAAAAAGUAAAAACGACUUAUAAAAAGAGACAAAGAUAGAGUGAGUAUUACUCUGCAUUUGACAUGUUUAACAACUUAUUUUCCACUUUAAAAUUGAUUGUGUUCCAUUUACCCAAAAAUUAACCAAGAAAAUAAUCCAUGUAUCCAAUAGUUAAUAGUACUAAUAAUUGACUGUGUUUCCCAAAACUAUUAAUGCAAGUGCACAUGUAUUAGCAGGAAGUCAACUAACUUCCAUCAAUAACGGAUCAUGGUCUGUUAAAAUCCACAUAUUUUUACCAACUAACCUAGAGAGACGGAAUAAUUUAGAAAAUGAUUUUAGGAAAGGUUAACAAAAAAAAAAAGUGUCGCCUGUGUCAUUUGUCAAAAAAUUAAAAAUAGGAGUAUUUACUAUCUUUUCUCUUUGUAUAAACAUAUCUUUUUUUAAGAGAUUAAAAUAAAAUAUAUUACCACGACAAAAGACCCUCCUAGCACAAGUUGUGCGAAGGAGGAAACGCCUGAAUCCGAAAACCGAGUGUCAAAAAUAUGUACAAAAUUUUAAAGGCGACAGCCUGUGCCACCCAAGAGAAAUCAAGAAAGAAGACAAUAAUUAGCCUAUGCCUACGAUAGUAAACGGACUUAGCCAGCAACCAUGGUAAUUGAGGAGAAGUGAAGGUAACUAAAUCGACUUAAUCUUGUCCACCACCUACAUAAUUAAGCUUUCAUGAGCGUUAAAAAUUUUGUUAUUUCUUUCUUUCCAUAUUUCUCACGCUGUUGCAAACCAAAUAACUUGUAAGAUCGAUUGUCUCAACUUAGCAGCACAAUGUAACUAAACUGAAUAAAAUGAUCAACCACAACAGCAGGCAUUACCGUAGACACACCUAGCCACUGAAAGAUAUGAUGCCAAACAGAGCCAAAUAAAUUACAAUGUAAAAAUAAGUGAGAAUAUGUUUCCACCAACUCACACCCUCCAACGCAAAUUUGAGCUUCAAUGUCAAGAACUCGACGACGAAACAAAUUGUCCUUUGUAGAUAGCCUAUUACGAAACAGACGCCAAGCAAACAACAACACCUUUUUAAACAUAUCCUUAAUUAAUAUUACUAUCUUUGGGCUUAACUAUAAAAUAUUUUUGCCAAAAUCACAAAAAUUAAUAAAAGUGUUUGUUAUCACAAUUAUUUUUACAGUUUUAUCCUUUAAAAAAAAGAGUUAGUUUAUGUUUUCAACAUGAUAUUAUUGUUGUUUGAAGAAAAUGAUAUAUAAUAAAUAUGGUUAUGAAGGUAAAUAAAUAAUUAAUUGUGUUGGAAAUAGAAAAGAGGUUCUAUAAAAAGGAUAGAAAAAUCUCAAAAUAGUUUUAUAAUUAGGGAUAAAGGUAGUACUCCCUCCGUUUCAAAAUACAUGUCCAAUUUUUGCAAUGUGCACUAUUCACUUGAUUUACUUUGACCAUACUUUUUAACUAAUGUAUAAAUACAAAUAUUAGCAUGUAAGAUGUUGUUUGAUUUGUCUCGACAAAUAUUUUCAAAAUAUUAAAUUUUUAUAAUUUUUUUACUUUGGAUAAUUAAAGAUAUUAACGGUCAAAAUUGAGCAUUGUCAUAUGUGAAGUGGUUGACUUGGACAUGUAUUUUGAAACGGAGGGAGUAUUAACUUAUCUUGAAAUAUGAAAAGUCAAAUUUAAUACAUAUACAAAUAAAUGACAAUUUAAACACCUUAAUUGUACUAACAUUUGUUAUUAAGAAAUGUGAAAAAAGCAAGAGUGACUGAACGAAAGGAGUAUAUAUAUUUUGCAUCCAAAAUAACUCUUUUCCAACUUCUAAAUUAAGAAUUUCUAAAGUUUUAUUUUAGAGGAAACAAUUUUCAAAGUUGAAAAAGUGUUAUUUGCAAUAUAAAAUUUGUCUUUUUUUUUCUUUCACAAGUGUCAUAGCAUGAUCCAAUAAUUAAGUAUGUAUGUGUGUGUAUAUAUAUAUAUUUAAAAAAAAAAAUUAAAUAUAUUUUCAAUUCAUAUAAACUUAUCAAGAGUCACACAAUUUAGAGCAAAUAGUUAGUUUAGUCUCUGACUUUGCACCUCGUUGUUACAAAAGUAUCUGACUUAAGAUUAAAUACAAAUAAGUUCCUUACUCUGCACUUCCAUUAUCACUUUAGUCCAUGCUGUUAAAAAAUUUUGUUAAGUGAUGAUGUGACACAUGUUUUAUGCUGACAAGGAGUAUGAGGUGCCAGGGGGAUUAAAAUGACUGUAAAAAAUGAUCACUACUUUGAUCCCUGAACCGAAAAUCAAUAUUCCCAAAUUGAAUUUGAAAUCCCUAAAUCUUAAGAAAAUUAUGAUUGGUAGUAAUCAACCAAAAUUUCUAUGCAGUACUUGCUGGACUACUUCAGUAGGUAUUUUCUAUGUAGUGGUUGGGCAAUCAAGGCUUGGAACAACAUGUUACUUGGUAUGGUUUUGUGCAUGCUUUUUAUAUGGUCAUAAUACAUUGUAAUUAUUAGUGUGUUUUGAUUAUAUGCAAUAGAGAGAGAUUUUCAUAACGAAUUGAGGGAAUAACCUUAAUGAUAUAAAGAAAGUCAAAAUUGCAGCAAUUUGAUAUAAAGAGAUAAAAACACAUAAUUAGAACCACAAACUCUGCUACUAUAUUCACUUUAGGCUUAAUUGCACUUUUGGACCCUUAUCUUUUCAAAAGUUGCAGUUAUGGACCCCUAACUAAUUUAAAUACAAAACAGCCCCUUAUGUUUUGAUUCUUUGGCAGUUUUGGACCCCCAAGGAAAAAAAAAAAAAAAAAUUGACACGUGGCACCUCACUUAAGGUGCCACGUCAGCGUUGACCGAGUCAACAAUGGACUGGGGGUCCAAAACUGCCAAAGAAACAAAACAUAGGGGGCUGUUUUAUAUUUAAAUUAAUUAGGGAUCCAUAACCGUAACUUUUGAAAAGAUAGAGGUCCAAAAGUGCAAUUAAGUCUUCACUUUAUGCAGUAAUCUCUUUCAACACCAAGUUAUCAUGCCAUGAACCCAAUACAUAGAGCAACAAUUUGUUCCUGUUUCGAAGUUAUGCAGCUUAAGACAUUUCUGGAAUUCAUAUUUAGAGUAAAUAGUCAAUUACCCCCCUGAAAUUGUAAGUUUCGUCAAUUACCCUCUUGAAAUUAAUAAAACGUCAAUUACCCCCUGAAAUUGCACAACGUUAAUCAAUUUACCCCCUCCGUCAAAUUCUUCUGUUAGUGAACAUGAAGUUUUGCAAAUACCUCCCCUGAAGUUUUGCACUUAUGUGCAAAAUGCCCCCCAAAUUUAAAUUUUUUUUUUCUUAUCUUGAUUCGAAAGAUAUUAAAGACAAAGAAUUAACAGUUAACUUUAAUAUUUAAGCUUAAAAUAAGAAUAUAUCCUCUAAAAAUAACACAUAAUUAAUAACUUCAUAUUACUUUAGCAAAAUGCAUGUUUAGUUCAAUUUUUAAGAUAAAAUAAUUUUAUUCAAACUUAUCUUAAGAAACUGUUAAAAUUAAUUAUUCAUGAGGAAUGAGUGUCUCUAGCUUACUUUGUUGUGAAUUGGCGUGUCUCUAUCUAAAUAAGUCAUAAUUUAUGGAGAAUUGAAGAACCAAAUGGCACAACAUAAACAAAAUAAAAUAACAGACCUCUUUAAGAAUGAAAGAGUCAUGUAAAGUAUUAAAGUUAACUGUUAAUUGCUUGUCUUUAAUAUCUUUGAGUUAAAGAUAAGAAAAAUAUAUAUAAAAGUUCGGGGGGCAUUUUGCACAUAAGUGUAAAACUUCAGGGGGUUAUUUGCAAAACGUCAUGUUUACUAACAGAAAAAUUUGACGGAGGGGGUAAAUUGAUUAACGUUGUGCAAUUUCAGGGGGUAAUUGACAUUUUGUUAAUUUUAGGGAGGUAAUUGACUUUUUGUUAAUUUUAGGGGGGUAAUUGACGAAACUUACAAUUUCAAGGGGUAAUUGACUAUUUACUCUCAUAUUUAUUAACAUAUAGUAUAUUGGCCUAAUGAAUAAUAAGCAUAUAUUAUAGAGUUAUAAUCAUAUAUCCAUUAUAUAGACUGUUUAUUGGCCUAUAAAUGUUUGAAUGCAUUUUACUUAAAGCAUGAUUGAUAUUUCAAAUAUCUUGCUGGUUUGAUAUUUGGUUUAUUUUUUCAAACAUUGGUUUGAUAUGGUAGACCAGUUCAAUACAUAAUUUUCUUAACUGCUUUACCAAUCAUAUAAUGUAGUGGGGAUUUAGGGAUUCAAUUUUGGAAUAUUGAUUUUUGAUUCAGGAACUAAAGUGAUUAUUUUCUACUGUCACUUUAGUCAUUGUGACACCUCAUACUCCUUGUUGACAUAAAACAUGUGCCACAUUAUCACUUUUAACAUAAUUUUUUAACGGCAUGGACUAAAGUGAUAACGGAAGUGCAGAGUCAGAGACUUAUUUGUAUUUAAUCUUGAGUCAAGGACCUUUCUGACAGUAAGGUGCAUAGUUGGGGACUAAAGUGACUAUUAAUUCCACAAUGCUAACAAAUGUCAUUAACCUAAGAAAACAUGAUUGAAACCAAAGGAUUUCAGAACAUUUGAAAAGGAAUUUUCAAUCCAAUGUAUCAAAAGCCUUCAUGAUGUCAAUUUUAAAAGCCAAGUUUCCUCCAAAAUAAGGACCACAAUAUUUCAAUUGUGAUUAGUCUAUAAAAUUCAUCCAAAUCUAAAAAAUUCAGAGAUAGAGUCGAAGACAUCAUUACCAACUAUGUACCAUUAGUACCAAUAACCAAUAGCUCUGAAAAUAAGUAUCAUCUACAACCAUCAAGGCCUGGAGCUAAGAAAACAUCCAUAUCAAAUAUAAUUUAUUUCAAUGAAGGAAGUCUCUCUAGUAAAGAUAUCAUUAUUUGCUCUCCCUCCAAGUGCCAACAGAUCUCCCAGCUAGAAAUAACAUACCAACAGUACUAAAUUACAUUGAAGCAUAUCUUACAUUAGAGAACAAUCUCUUACUUAUAAUGUUUGAAACCUCAUCAUAAAUCUCAAUACCCAAUAACAAAAAACAACAACUGGAACCAUCAAUACACUAUCACAAGCAGUGAUUAUGAAAUAAUAAAAAAAAAAAAUCAUAAUUUUUCAAAGGUGGCAUACCUUUGUUGUUAUAAGAUGAAAAUUUAGGAGAUUGUUAAUCGACAGAUCCCUUCUACAUUAAUUCUGAAAAAACAAACAUCAAUUUCAAAUUUUGAGUUGAAUUUGUAAGUGAAUGCAAAAUGAAGAAAGAGGGAUUUGAAAGAUUUACAAUAGAGACAUUUUGAAAGGGAGCAAAGUAACUAUUGCUUAGUGAAAAACUAUAAAAUCGGAAAAUAUAGAACCUGUAGUUAUCUGAUAUAAAUGAAGCAUCAUGGUCAUAUUUUUCUUGAGUAAAGAGCAGUGCAUCAGCAGACUCGAACUGUUCCUUUUGUAUGGCAGAAAGGUGCAACAUAGACAAACCUAAAGCCAUUAUGGGGGAAGGAAAAAUAUAAUAGUAUUUCUAGCUAACUACUCUGAAAGACAUACAUUAUCAUUCCUAAACUGACACAAGACUUUGUGUAACAAGGGAGAGGACAUUUUGUCAAUUCUUUCUCUCAAAACCAUUUGGAAUGUGAAGUUAUAUGAUCAAAGUCACUAAAAGAUUGUCAAUUCUCAUCUAGUGUAGUUUCUAAAUGCAUUAAAAAGUUCAAGCCAAUCAGUAAUAAGUCCAUGAAAACAUACCCAUUGAAAAGCACCUUCUUGGGUUCCAUCUUGCACAUCAACCACAUUAGGCUCAGAUUUUAGAGUACUUCUUUGCUUAAGCAAGUCUCAGACCUUAUAUGAAUUAAAAAAUCACAAAAGAACCAUUAGAAUGCUGAGUAUACAGCUGCUAUGUGCUAAAACUAUUCAACAUGAGACAAAAUGCAUUAAGCAAUAUUUACCGCUUGCAAGAUCCUAUCAGAAACAUCCCCUUCCAAAGCCUCCCACCUCAAUACUCAAAUGAACAAUUCAUUUUAGCACAAAAGGAACGUGUUAAGACAGAAUCAACAACAACAAAUAUAUAAUCAGAUUGCUUGAUUGGAGUACAAAAUAUGUCAAACAAUAAAAUACAAAGCAUAACAUGAAUAAUUACUCUCAGGACCUGAACUAUCAGUUUGCAAAUGAUGCUUAAUAGCAUGAAGAGAAUAGAUGUUUGAUAACAGUAAAGUGGAAGAAGUAAGGGUUAGUACGAAUCAGUCAAAGGAGAGACAAGAACUCACUCAUCGAAGAAAAAGAAGAAGUCACGCAAGAAGGUUGGAUAAUGAUUAAAUUUUAUUUUAUUUUUUACAAAAGAAAAUGAUUAAAUUUUUGGGUGAGUAAGUAUGUAAGAAUAAUGAGGGAAAUUUGGGUAUUUUUGUUGACAUGAGUAAAAACGUCAUAAAAAUAAUUUUACAAAAUUAAAUUUUUAUAAGCAAAAAAUAUAGAGUCGGAUAAGUAGAAUCUACAUUUGUUCAAAUAGUCAAUUGUAGGUCUUCCAAUGUGUAGCCUCAGCUAAGCGGACGCUAAUAUUUUCAAAAAAUAAAGAAAAACUAUAAAUUAAUGUAGAGUACGUUAGGCCGACUCUACCUGGACACUAUUAGUGUGGUGGUGGGGGCCGACGCUAAAUUUGGAGUCUAAAAUCAUGUUUUCUUGUAGUGGAUGACAAGCUACCCAUUAGGGAACAUCAAUAUCAUGUGAUACUUCUAAAAUGGUGUACUUUUGUAGAGGGAUAGUUCUGGUUGAGGGGUUGCUGGUGGUCAGAAUACUAUAUUUGACGUUUAAACUAAUAAUUGUGUCAACAAAUUCAAGCAUGGGCUCUUAAGAAUUGGCACAGAUCUUUGUCUCCCCUGUAACGGUUUCCCCUUCGCACUCUUCAAGUGUGUUGUGAAUUCGGACUCAAAACUCACACCAAUACAAACUAUGAUGUGUGGAGCAAAGGAAAGUAGUAACCAAUUUCAAAGUAAACACAAGCAAUAGCAAUAAUAACAACACCUAGAUCUAAUCUAGUAAUCAAAGUGAAAAGCUCAAAACCACAAGCAAAAGAUAAAGGGAGAGAAGAGAGGAACAAACACACCAAAGAUUGUUGACCCAGUUCGGUCCAACUUGACCUAAUCUGGGGGAGAGAUUGAUCUCUCCAAUCCACUAUCAAUGAGUUCUUACAAAGAGAUACAAAUGGGUUACAAGAAAUUAGUUUCAACAAGCUCACAAAGAACAACCCUAAUUUCUCCCCAUUUUCCCAAUCUCACCAAUGAACAAGACACUCAAUGAUUUUCACUCACCCAAGGUGUUUACAAUGUUUCCCAACCCAACAGAACUUUAAUCAAAGACCCUCAACUCUAAAGUUACCUCCUUUGAUUUCCCAAGUUUCUCUCUCUUCAAGCUCUCCUUCAAAAUCUGCAAAGAACACUUAUAUAGCAGUCUUCAGCUGUCAAAAUCGUGUCACGUUUUGCUAAAUCAUGACACGUUUGGUGCGUACGACCAACCUUAUCCUGAAAACUUGCCCAUCAAGCCGAAAAUCGUGUCACGUUUUCCCAAAAUUGUGUCACGGUUGGGCACCCUGCAAAACAGCUCUCGACAUUGCAAAAUCGUGACACGCUUCACAAAUUGUGUCACGAUUCAAAGUUUUCCCAACUUUGCAAUUUGAAGACAUAAACAACAAAGUGCUCCUCUCAUGGAUUUGGUUUGAAGAGAUUCUUUAGGGAUUGAAAAGAGUUGAAGAAUACUUGGGAGUUGUGACAUCGAGAAAGGAAUGGAGUUGGCCUCUUUUUUUGAGAGGUAAGGAGAAACUUCUUGGACCGGAAAUUGGAAGGUCAUUACAUUUCCAACGUGAAGAUCAUCCAAACUAAAAUAUCCUGUCUUGAAAGCUUCUGUAUGAUCCAAGUUAGGAAUUGGGAGAUCUUCUGCGGAGUUGGUAUGAUCCAGUAAUGUAAUUUGGUUGCUUGCCUUCAUGUUUAUCAUAUGAAGUUAUGUAAGCUCCGUUGGAUUUAUGGUUAUGGGUCCUAUACCCGGUAAUGUAAUUUGGUUGCUUGGUUUCAUGUUUACCAUAUUGAGUUAUGUAAGGACCAUUGGAUUCAUGGUUAUGGGUCUUAUACCCGAUAAUGUAAUUUUGUUGUUUGGCUUCAUUUUACCAUAUCCAGUUAUGUAAGGUUCAUUUGAUUCUGGUUGUUUGGCUUCAUGUUUACCAUAUCCAGUUAUGUAAGGUUUAUUUGAUUCUAGUUGUUUGGCUUCAUGAUUAUAAGCAGUUAUGUAGGCACCAUUUGAAUCCACUUGAUUUUGAUCUCGCAGCUCUACUUUCAAGUCUCUCGCAUUGAUGCUUUUGCCAAUCUACAAUGAUGUUAAUGAGAAUAUAAAUUGUUAGACUUUUUCAAUAAAAAAAAUAUAAAUUAUUAGUGUCCUAAUUGAUUAGCCAGAUUGAUAUUACAAUUACUAAUUACAUCACGUUUUAAUUGCAAGAACUUUUAAGGGAAAAAAUUAUUUAGAACCUAGAGUUUUAUAUGGGACAUUGGUACCUCAAAGAAAAAUUAAUUCAAAAUUUAAAUUCAAUACAAAAUAACUAAAAAAACUUAAAUAAAAAUAAAUAAGCAUAUGUCCUUUCUAAAUUUAGCCAUGUUGGUACGAAUAUUUCAUAAUAUAUGUAGGGAUCAAAGUUCGACCACGGACGCCCUACUUAUUUACCUUAAAAAAAUGAAUUUCUAACCGAUAAACUACUUAACUAAAAAAAUAUCAUAUCCUACAAAACUGUGCCAAGUGUUGAUAAAACAAUAGUGCAAUAAAAAUUGUAGUAAUAUUUUAAGAUGAUAUUAAAUAGUUUUCAAAAAAAAAUAUCAAGUAAAAGAGCAUUCAAUUCUAAAUGUAAAAGCCAUAUAAUCUCCCCUCCAAAUAUCCAUCAAUUUGGAGGAGAGUUAGAAUUUGUUUUUGAGAUAUUAUGUUUCCCUCCCUUUGUGAUAUUUUAUAGAUGACAUGGAGGUAUUUUUUUUCUUUUUCCUUUUUAUUUUGAAAGAAGGUGCUAUCGUGGUUUCUUUCAUCGUUAACUCAGCUUCCUCUUACUUAGAGAUUUGAGAACAUAUAUAUUAAUAUUUAUUAGUAAUAAUAUGAUAAUAACUAGCUUACACAAGGAAAGCCAGAACAUAUGGAGUACGUAGCAAGCACAGUGGGUGAAUAGAAUACAAAUAAUUCAAUAACGAUCCAAUCUGAUAAUAUUACAAUUAAUGAACCUCGUACUGAUUUGGUUUGUAAAGACGAAUUUGAAGUUAGUGUAACAAUUUCACAGUACACGAUCCCCUUUUUUCUCCCUUUUUUUUGUGUAAUUAUUUGUGUGAUAAGCUUCAAUGACAAUGUGAAUGUAUUAUGAAAGAUAUGAUCAACUAAUAAAAUGAGAGUUUUAUACCUUGUUCCGCAAAAAAGGUAUACUUUAUAAUUUUUUUAAUCUGAACAAAAGAAAAAUAUAACUACAGAAAACAAUAAAAGAAAUUAAAAGUAUGUUUGUCUCUCUACAUUUUUGUCUCUUUUAGUUUUAGCCAUUUUCAAUUAUGUGUUCUUGAUAUUAUAUGCAAUGUUGUUCUGUAAUUUUGGGGAGUAAAAGAUUCCGGAUUAUAUAAGUUGAAAUGUUGUUUGGAUUAUAUUUGCCGAACAAAUGGUAUUUUGGGAAGAAAAAAAUUAAGGCGUGCGAGAAGCUUAUAAGGUAGGAAAAAAUAAUAGCCAAAAAAAUAAGAAUGAUUGAGUUUAUUAGAGUAGUUAUUUUAGAGCAUUAAAUUGUGGACUGCAUUAUGUCAUGCAGUCACAAUAUUACUAUUAGAAAUUUUGUAGUUUGUUUUGUUGUUAGUCCCUUUAUUUUGUGUAUUUGCAUUGAACAAAUUGGGACAUUACUCAAAGAUCUCAAAGUCAAGAACUACCUCUUCCAUUCGAUUGAAAGGUCUAUCAUGGGGAUGAUUCUUGUGCCUUAUAUAUCAAUUAAAGAUACAUGGGAUUCCAUCCGUGAGAACUAUCAAGUAUCAACAAAGAUUAAAUGUGCUCAAUUCCAAGCUAGCUCUAAGCGGGGAAUUUACGGUUCUUAGCAUUAAAUAUGGUGAAUCGGUGGAUGAAUACUUCGUAAGGACUCUUGCAAACGCAAAUUGAAUGACAUCUCACGGGGAGAAAUUGGAACAACUCUUGAUCGUUGAAAAUAUUUUGAGGUAAAUGACUCCAAAUUUGAUUACGUUGUGUGUUAAAUUAAAUAAUCCAAUGACAUUGCAAACUUUUCCAUUGACUAUUUAUAAAGUACUUCACUUGUCCAUGAGCAACGUAUAAGGGCUCACUAAGAAGAAAAAAAUGAAGAAAAGGUUCUCAAGAUUUCAAACUCUCAAAGGGAAUAUGGUUAUUGUAAGGGUUGUAUUGGAUAAAUAUAUCAUGGAAGAGGUAGAUAAAACACAGAGUUUAUUUAAUGCUUCAAGUUUCAUAAACUAGGACUUUACCAAAGUGUGUGUCCAAGUUGGGAGGAGAUGCUAAUUUGACUAAAUAAGAAGAUGAGGAAAGGCUUUUCAUUGCUCAAGAGGGAUUGAGUAGUGGUGCUAGGUAAUAUGUGUGGUUCCUAGAUUUUAAGUGUACCAUCACAUGGUGGGAACAAAUGAGUGACUAUUUGAACUUAAUGAAAGCACACUAAGACUAUUAUAAGUGGGAACACGCUAUUUAAGGUGAAGGAAAUGUAUCAAGAAUUUUUUAAAACACAGCUGUCAAGUUUCAAUUUGAUGAUUUAUUUGUUCACUUCCUAUUUUUCAGCCACACCUCCUUGAAUUGUGUUAAAUAGUGCACUGUGAUUGGCUGCUCUUUAUUCUUGAAGAAUUCUUAAUGUUAUUUUUCUAGAGAUAUAACAUUGCUCUUGUAAGUGAUACCACGGAAAAAUAAAAACACUGAAAAACAAUGAUCUUUCUACAUAAUUUUUAAUUUAUUUAUGCAUAAAAAGUAGCAAUAACAAUACAUACACAAACAUGUUUCCUCUAAAAAAACAAGACAUACAAACACGCGAAAUUGGUCAUCACUCAUCACUCACAACCAUCACUAGUGAGAUUGAUAAACCUUUAUUAUACAAGUCUAGAUAGACCAACUCACUUCACAUGGUGGCUUUUGAAGGUUGCAUUGGAACCCACAGAAGAUGGUUCACAGGUAAGAAGUGACACACUGGAGAGUUCUUCCCGGCCUUAAUGCUAAGCUGCCUAAAUAUUAUAUGAUCUGGGUUCCAAUCAGAUGUGUCCAAAUGGCAAAUUCCAACAGCUUCCAUUUUAUCUCCAUUCUCAUCACCGACAAGCGAGACCUUGAACACUCUAGUCCCUGUAGCUAUGUAAUGACAAAAGUAAAUGGCAUAUGGAUAUGAGAGGGGAUGACAAGCUACCCAUUUUGGAGCAUCAAUAUCAUGGGAUACUUCCAAAAUGGUGUACUUCUGUAAAGGGACAGCUGUCGGUGAGGGUUUGUUGGUGGUUAGAAUACUAAUUUUGGCAUCUGAACCAAAGAUCGUGUUAACAAAUUCGAGCAUGGACUCUAGAGAGUUGGCACAAGUCUUUGUCUCCCCUGUAAUGGUUUCCGAUUCACACUCUCCAAGUGAAUUUAUCAUGGAUUUAGCUUGAGGAGAAUCUUCAGGGAUUGAUAAGAGUUGAAGAACACUUGGAAGUUGUGACAUUGCAAGAGGAAUGGAGUCAGCCUCUUUUUUUGAGAGAAAAGGAGAAACCACUUGGACGGGAAAUUGAAGGGUCAUUACAUUUCCAACAUAAAGAUCAUCCAAAUUGAAAAAUCCUACCUUGAAAGCUUCUGUACGAUCCAAGUUAGGAGAUUGGGAGCCUUCUAGAUCUUUUGAGGUGGUAGAUGGAGGGUCUUUUGGGUCAUUUCCAACAGAUAUGUUCCCGAUAAGGUAAUUUGGUUGCUUGGCUUCAUGGUUACCAUAUGCAGAUACGUACAAUUCAUUAGAUUCAUGGGAUUCAGGGGUAUGGGUCUUGUACCCUGUAAUGUAAUCCGGGUUCUUGGCUUCAUGUUUACCAUAUGCAAGUCUGUACCCACCAUUCAUGUAAGGCUCGCUUAGCUUUUCAUUAGAUUCAUGGGUAUGGGUCUUGUACCCUGUAGUGUAAUCCGCGUUCUUGGCUUCAUGUUUACCAUAUGCAAGUCUGUACCCGCCAUUCAUAUACGGCUCGCUUAGCUUUUCAUUAGAUUCAUGGGUAUGGGUCUUGUACCCUGUAGUGUAAUCCGGGUUCUUGGCUUCAUGUUUACCAUAUGCAAGUCUGUACCCGCCAUUCAUGUAAGGCUCGCUUAGCUUUUCGAGAUGUGAUAUAUGCUUGUUGUGUUUGGUGGUGGUAUAUGAAGCUGGAUAAUUUGGUCUACUGCCUCCGUAUUGUGUAAUGUAAGGUUUAUCAUUCGAGUCCACUUGAUCAUGAUCUUGCAGCUCUACCUUCAAGUCUCUGGCAUUGAUGUCUUGGCCAAUCUACAAUGACAACAACGAGAAUAUAAAUUGAAAGACUUCUUCAAUAAACAAUAUAACAUAUUAAUCCCGUC